rnacentral:lncRNA from 1 species
UUUAUAUUUGAUAUCAGUGGUCAGAAAGCUACUUUUUUUCAUCAGCAGGUAUAAGUGUCUUGUUGGGUGAGAGAAUCAGGAUCUAAAAAGAUUUCUUCAGGUUUUAAUGAUGGGGUGAAUCUUUAAUGACAUAAUGAUAAAUGUCAAGUCCUACAUUUGGGCUAAAAAAAAAUCAGCUGUUAAGCUGGAGAGGUAAGGUAAGGGGACUGGAGGCAGUGUCAUAUCAUUUGAAAACUGGAUGAAGGAAGCUGGAUAUUUAGUUCAGAUAAGAAAAGACUUUUAAAGAAGGCUUGAUUUUCUGUUUUUAGCUAUUUGAGGUGUCCUAUAGAAGACGGGUUAGUCUUUUCUGUUUGGCCCCAGGGGGUCAAAACAAGGACCAGUGAAUGCAUGGAUGCUAUAAGGAGACACAUUUGGGUUCCAUAUGAGAAAGAACUUCCCAAUAAUUCAGAGCUGUUACAAAACACAACCGGCUGUCUUGGGAGAUGGCAAAUUCUCUAAGAAGUAGGUUUGUUCAAGCAUAGGUUUGAUAACCAUUUGUUGAGAGUAUCCUAGAGGUUUAUUGACGCUUCAGGUAAGGGGUUAAACUAGACGACCUGCCAAUUCCAAGAUUCUGUGAUCUUAAUUGCAUUCCCCACCUCUUAUUCUUUUAGGGAUCAGGAACAUCUGGCUUGCUUCUUCACGAUGUAUCAGGAGAACAUUGUUGGAGCUGAGAUGAUUUGAUUGAUGCAAGCUUGGAAACAAGGGGUUUCUCUGUUCAUGAACUCAAGAAGUUGUGACUAAUUAAGAAGAUGAAGAAUGUAUGUGAUGUACUUUGGAGAUUCGUCUUCAGAUAAUGCAUUUCUUUAGACUGAAGAUACCAAUCUGCAUUUCUCAGGGAGAAAUUGGAGGAAAUGGAGGCACCUUACAGGAAAAAUUACCAAAGAGGUCUGUGUCAACUCCAGUGUCUGCCCUCUUACACCCAGGCUCACUUCUCUCUUAGGCUGCUACCUUGAAGCACCACCCACCAUAGCUUCACACAGCCCUGCUUUGCUGCUGGUGUCCUGUACCUCCUGUAGCAGUCUUAAAAUACCCCAGGCAAUACAAGCUGGCAAGUAAGUAUAAGCAAAGGUUUGUUUUUUUCUGAGAGAAGUGGCCCUCACAGACCUCAUUUCUCCAGUCAUAGCUGGAGAGAAAUAAAUGAUUGUUUGUAUAUAUGUGCGUAUAAUAA